GGAAAUCAAAAUUCAAGGGUUUUUUUCUUCUCGACGUUUCUUCCUUCUCAGCAGCAGAGUACAGUUCCAUCCUCCAGGUCGUAGCUGGCUUCUUCCCAGAGGCCUAGAUUCGGCCCACGCGGACACAGGCCUUGUUGAGCCACAACCCCCACGCUAGGCCAAGAGCCACCUCCUCUACCAGUGGCGGUGGGCGGUGGCACGGUCAGCGCUCCAAUUCCAAAGCUGCUGGUGGUGGCACCAUCAGCAGCAGUUCCAGGCGCAACACACGGUGAGGCGGUGGCCUCAGGUGGUGGCCAUCAAGACGACCUACUCUUGGUGUGCCAAACAGCGGCUUCAGGCGUAGGACAGGCAUCGGCUUCGCUGGGCCUCUAUAGCGCCCACCAACCGUUCGUUCUUUUGCCUCAUGGGAAACCAAAAAAGACUUGCAACAUACUUUUCAUAACUAGGAGCUCCUCUGAAAUAUGGUUUGCUAUAAAUUUUCUCAGGACUAAGAUAGCUGUCUUACCAAAACAAGAUCCGCAUCUCGCAGAAACUCUAGCUGAUUACUCAUUUGCACCUUGAAGAGGUGUGCUCCAGUGUGUGCGUCAACCGCACUGAAGGGAUCAUCCAAGAGAUUGGAUCUUGCAGGAUUCUGAAAGUAGCAAGUGCUGAUAGUACAGUUCCUGCCGACAAUGGAAUGUCUACAAGAAUGCAAAUUCCAAAGGUGACAACUGAGACCAACGUUGGUGAUGCCCAGAAGAGGAAGGCUAUUGCUGAGCAUGUGUACAGAUACCUUCUGAGCAACCCUCUCUCCACAUCCCUGAGCUUCAAAAGCUUAUCCAAGGGCGUGUUGCUCACCAUGAUCAACACUGUUGCAAAAACAGCAGACAGCGAUGCUGCCAUCCCAAGACUAUGGUACAAGAUGACAAGUGCCAGUGAGACUUGCAAGGGCAGCAACCAAAUUCCAUGGAUGUACCAG